GGCGACGGACGUGCGCUUCGCUCUACUAAAUCUCACACGUACGAAGUGAUGUGAAGUUAUGUUUUGUUUUAUUUUAUUGAUUUAUUAUUCGUAAAUGUUAUAAAACAAGUGAAUAUCUGUGAAGAGUUAACAAACCUUUAAAUUGUGUAUGUUACUGUUGACUUGGACGAGAUAUGAAAUUAUCAUCCAAUGACAAGAUAUACUGACUUCUGAGGAUCAUUAUGCUUGAGGAAGAUUUGAAGACAGAAAGAGUAGAGUUCCUUGGACGAUACGCAAAUACUCCCGCAGACCGCCGAUGUUUGUUCUGGAAGUCUUAUCACUUGAUAAGUUAGAACACAAGCCUCGCGCAAACAACCUUAUCAUGGUAACAUUCUUACUGGAGACACAAAACUACUCCACAGAAACCAUUCCAAUCAGGCGUGACGCACGGAAUACCUGAAUUAAAAAUUAAGCAGUGUUCUCAAACGUAGUCAUGGAGGAAAUUUUGUUAGUGCAUAACAUCAAUUAGUUAUAUUUAUAAAACUUCAGUGCAAGUGAAUCUAUGCCAAAGAACGCACCAAAUUUUAUAUCAUAUACUAGUCAAAUAAUAUCUUCAAACUGGAGGACUUACAAACUUUGGAAGGCGCAGAGACCGUCGUCGAGAAUGCGAGCGCCAGGGCACAGGAAUGCUU